rnacentral:rRNA from 1 species
CCCGGUGGUCAUAGGGGUAGGGUCACACCCGUUCCCAUUCCGAACACGGAAGUUAAGCCUACCACCGCCGAUGGUACUGCACGCGCAGGUGUGUGGGAGAGUAGGUCGCUGCCGGGA